GCCCUCGUAGCUCAAUGGUAGAGCGCGUCACUAGUAAUGACGAGGCUGCCGGUUCGAUUCCGUCCGAGGGCA
rnacentral:tRNA from 3 species